GAAGCAAUGAAGAGCUAUUUUCCGCUAAUUUUGUUUGCCGUCUGGAUGCUCUUUGUCAUGACUGGCACCACUGCCAUGGAACCAAACUCAAACGAUACGAUGGAUAUCAAUCACGCACGUGUGAAGCGCAAAUGUCCCUGGCCCGAAUCCAAUCCGCUGUGUGGCCUUUGGCAUGGUUAGUGAACCUUCUGAAUGAAAAUUAUGAGAAGAAACGUUUUUCAAAAGUAUCUUCGAGGAGGGACAGCCGACGAAGUUGCGAAACAGUUUUGAGCAGUAAAAACUUGUUUCUUUUAGA